rnacentral:rRNA from 1 species
GAUGAACGCUGGCGGCGUGCCUAAUACAUGCAAGUCGAGCGAACAGACGAGGAGCUUGCUCCUCUGACGUUAGCGGCGGACGGGUGAGUAACACGUGGAUAACCUACCUAUAAGACUGGGAUAACUUCGAGAAACCGGAGCUAAUACCGGAUAAUAUAUUGAACCGCAUGGUUCAAUAGUGAAAGACGGUUUUGCUGUCACUUAUAGAUGGAUCCGCGCCGCAUUAGCUAGUUGGUAAGGUAACGGCUUACCAAGGCAACGAUGCGUAGCCGACCUGAGAGGGUGAUCGGCCACACUGGAACUGAGACACGGUCCAGACUCCUACGGGAGGCAGCAGUAGGGAAUCUUCCGCAAUGGGCGAAAGCCUGACGGAGCAACGCCGCGUGAGUGAUGAAGGUCUUCGGAUCGUAAAACUCUGUUAUUAGGGAAGAACAAAUGUGUAAGUAACGAUGCACGUCUUGACGGUACCUAAUCAGAAAGCCACGGCUAACUACGU